ensembl:lncRNA
CCGCUGCUCGCGCCUGCGCGCAGGCCACGGAUCCUCCUCCGCGCGCGCCCUGCCCCCCACACGCCCUCGCUCGAACACACACUUCGCCUCUGUGACCCCGCCCCUCACCGGCCAGCUGCGUUGGCGGCCCUCCCCCACCUCGCCUGGGAGGGUGGUGACCCCCGACCCCCCAGAAAGCACAACACCCCCCAAACAGUGGGGAGAAGCGCCCCGGUCCCCUUCAGCCGCCCUCUGCCCCAGUCAGCCCGUUACAGUCACACAACCUGAGGGCCGGGCGGCCUGGGCGAGGGCAGCCGUUGCCCGCCUCAAAGCGGGGGUCUCCCAGGGUCAGGCCUCUGGGCCGGGUCGGCCAGACUGCCCAGGGCGAGGGGGCGCAGGGAAGGGGCGCCUUCCCGCCGGCUGCCCUCCCCUCGCGCGCCCGCCGCUGGGCCGAGGCCGGCCUGCCCGCCAUCCCCGGGCAGGCCCUUGGCGCCCCCGCCGCGGGGCCCGUCCGCCCUCGGCUCGGGGGGCUGCUCGGUGCAGCAGCCCGGCCCCGCCUCACCCACUCCUCGCCGCUCCAAAGGGGCAGGAAACGGGAGUAGCAUGUCUGUCCUGGGCUCGCCUCCCCUGGGGGGAGCUCCGGGCGCUUGACAAGGGCGUCCACAGGUACCAGGCUCGGGAAUGGUCGCCGCGACGGCCCGGGGGCGUUGGCGGCUGGCGCGCCCACCGCGGGCCCGAGGCGCCCUGGGAGGUGGCCCUGGAAGCCCCCGCUCCUCGGCCACGCUCAGGUUUCCGCAGCGCCCGUGCCCCCGGCGGCCCGGGUGGGACGUGACCCCGCCCCCGGCGAGUCGGGGCGCCCCCCAAGGAGGGGUGCGCGAGCCGUCCUCAGCCCCCGGGCCGACCCCGCCGCCCCGGGCCGCGGCGGGCGCGGGAGGCCCGGCCGGGAAGAUGUCGUCUCUCGGUGCGCGCAGCUUCACGCGAGGGUCAGCGACGGGGCAGCGGCCGCCUAGCCGUGCCAGCCCUGCCCACGAACGGGCUCCCGCGGCUCGACAGCUGCCCGACGGGCUUGCAGGCUGGGGACGUCGUCGGAGCCCGGCCGGAGGAUUAUUGUGGAGUCAAAUGGACUAAUCAACAACCUCCUAUGGAAGCUGGAAGACAAUGUAUUUACAAAGGAUUGCUGGUUCUCAUUUCUUUUUAUUUAUUUUCCUAUAAGAAAGAUUUGUUACCAAGUACCUUGUGCUUAACACUAAAUUAAGUGCUGGGAUGGAAAAAGGAGAUUUGAAAAGUUAGAAAGCAUGGAUUUUGCUCUUGAAGACUUUGCACCAUGGAAGAGAUGCCAGGAAGAUGCGACAUACUAAGAUAACGGUGGUCAUGACCGUGAAUUGCUGGAAAAUACUGUAGGCAAGAAGAACUGGAUAUAGAAUUCCACUGGGCUGUGGGCCCCACGGGACAGGAAGUUUUGUUCCUUUUGUUUAUGUUUGCUGAUACCAUGCUGGGAGCCUAGAACAGUGCCCGGCGGAGUUGGCCCUGACUCAGUCAUUGGUGUUUAUUGAACCAAUGAAGAUCAGUGGUGCUUUGAGGGACAAAGAAGCAUGAAGGCUGGGGGGCUUUGAACGCUUGCAAAGUUUGAUUUUGACAGAGUAAGAAAGGCACAUAUGUUCUGCAGCAAAGGUUUGAUAUACUAUCGAUUAUUCCAGGUAAACUAUUCCUGCAGCUGUCACUUCAGCUAAAGUAGAGGUGAUAGAAACUGAAGUCCUUACUACUGCAAACCACACCGUGAGUUGACAAAUUCAGAAAAGUGGGCAAAUUGAAUUCCCAGUUCUGGAUUGCUGGAAGAUAAAUAUAGACUUGGCAGAAGCUUGCUUAUUCUGAAUUCACAUUAUUCCUCUUGAAGGGACCAUAUUCAUUUCUAUAUGCAUUUAAGUUGCUCCUUAAUACACAGGCCUGUAAUUCUGAAAGCUAUUGAUAGUAAAACAAUAUAC